CCUGGCUGUGAUUACAAACUUGCCCUCACUGACAUAAGUUAUGAUUGAUGUACUUAUAACUGAGCCACA
rnacentral:snoRNA from 14 species